rnacentral:rRNA from 1 species
GAUGAACGCUAGCGGCAGGCUUAAUACAUGCAAGUCGUGGGGCAGCAUGACUUUAGCAAUACAGUUGAUGGCGACCGGCAAACGGGUGCGGAACACGUACACAACCUUCCUUUAAGUGGGGGAUAGCCCAGGGAAACUUGGAUUAAUACCCCGUAGUAUAUAGAAGCGGCAUCGCUUUUAUAUUAUAGCAGCAAUGCGCUUGAAGAUGGGUGUGCGGCUGAUUAGAUAGUUGGCGGGGUAACGGCCCACCAAGUCGACGAUCAGUAACUGGUGUGCGAGCACGACCAGUCACACGGGCACUGAGACACGGGCCCGACUCCUACGGGAGGAAGCAGUAAGGAAUAUUGGUCAAUGGACGCAAGUCUGAACCAGCCAUGCCGCGUGGAGGAUGAAGGUCCUCUGGAUUGUAAACUUCUUUUAUCUGGGAAGAAAUCCACUUUUUCUAGAGUGGUUGACGGUACCAGAUGAAUAAGCACCGGCUAACUCCGUGCCAGCCGCCGCAGUAACAC